GAUGAAGAACGUAGCGAAAUGCGAUAAGUAAUGUGAAUUGCAGAAUUCAGUGAACCAUCGAAUCUUUGAACGCACAUUGCGCCCGGCAGUAAUCUGCCGGGCAUGCCUGUCCGAGCGUCAUUUCUGCCCUCGAGCGAGUCCAGCAUCUAGGUGCUGGGCCCGCCCGGCGUUGGGGCACUACGGGAAGCCCUGUGCUGUCCCCCGUAGGCCCCGAAAUGAAGUGGCGGUCCUGCCGCGGCGCCCCCUGCGUAGUAUAACAGCUCGCUUCGGGACCCGGUGGAGGCCUGCCGUCAAACCUUACUCUCUAAGUUUGACCUCGGAUCAGGUAGGGUUACCCGCUGAACUUAAGCAUAUCAAUAAGCGGAGGGA
rnacentral:misc_RNA from 1 species